AAGUCGUAACAAGGUUUCCGUAGGUGAACCUGCGGAAGGAUCAUUACCGAGAGUUGUAGGCUUCUGUCUACCAUCUCUUACCCAUGUCUUUUGCGUACUUAACGUUUCCUCGGCAGGUCCGCCUGCCGUAGGACAAUCAUAAACCAUUUGCAGUUGCAGUCAGCGUCUGAAAAACAUAAUAAUUACAACUUUUAACAACGGAUCUCUUGGUUCUG
rnacentral:misc_RNA from 1 species